CCUUGGGAGUGAUGAGACAAUUUUAUUAACAGUUAUCCCUGUCUGAUCUAUGGAUGCUGAAAAUUUGUUAUCUGACCCAACU